GAUGAACGCUGGCGGCGUGCCUAAUACAUGCAAGUCGAGCGAACAGACGAGGAGCUUGCUCCUCUGACGUUAGCGGCGGACGGGUGAGUAACACGUGGAUAACCUACUUAUAUGUCUGGGAUAAUUUCGGGAAACCGGAUCAAAUACCGGAUAAUAUAUUGAACCGCAUGGUUCAAUAGAGAAUGACGGUUUUGCUGUCUCUUAUAGAUGGAUCCGCGCCGCAUUAGCUAGUUGGUAAGGUAACGGCUUACCAAGGCAACGAUGCGUAGCCGACCUGAGAGGGUGAUCGGCGACACUGGAACUGAGACACGGUCCAGACUCCUACGGGAGGCAGCAGUAGGGAAUCUUCCGCAAUGGGCGAAAGCCUGACGCAGCAACGCCGCGUGAGUGAUGAAGGUCUUCGGAUCGUAAAACUCUGUUAUUAGGGAAGAACAGAUGUGGAAGUAACUAUGCACGUCUUGACGGUACCUAAUCAGAAAGCAACGGCUAACUACGUG
rnacentral:rRNA from 1 species